rnacentral:rRNA from 1 species
UACGGAGGGUGCAAGCAUUAAUCGGAUUUAUUGGGCGUAAAGGGCGCGUAGGCGGUUUUGAAAGUCAGAUGUGAAAUCCCGGGGCUCAACCUCGGAACAGCAUAUGAAACUCCAAGACUAGAGGGUAGGCGGAGAAAACGGAAUUCCACAAGUAGCGGUGAAAUGCGUAGAUAUGUGGAAGAACACCGGUGGCGAAGGCGGUUUUCUAGCUUAUUCCUGACGCUGAGGCGCGAAAGCAAGGGGAUCAAACAGG